rnacentral:misc_RNA from 1 species
GUGUGUCUGAGAAAGCAAAGAGGGAAACUUUCCCUGCCAUACACCCCUCUUUGAUCUUGACUUCCAUCCCACGACAAGGUCCCAUCAAUUAAGGUCAUAAGCAGUACUACCAAUCUCAAAGAUUUGGUCUGAUACUCAUUUGCAUUCCAGAAAGGAAACUCACUAUGAAGUAUAAAGAACUUGAUAGAUUCUAGUUGGAUAAAUUUUAGCCGCAUUAUUUUGUGUAACUACUUUAGUACAUGAAACUCUAUUAGAACAGCAGUAGAUAAGAUUCUCCAAUAAGAUCACCAAAAACUUAUCUAAUUGUCUCUAUGCCACAUAUACUCAACUAUAAU